UAGGAAAACCCCAAAAUUGCGAAGCAAUUUUCUGGAAUGGGUUUUCCGACAUGCCGCCGAAACGAAGUUGAGGGGGCAAUACCUU
rnacentral:sRNA from 1 species